UAGGGGUCGAAUUUCGUAAAACCCGUUCUUAGCGAAUGUUUACGCCCUAUAAGGAGUCUAUCUGCCAAAUUUCAAGUUUUUAGGUGUUAUAGUUUCGGAGAUUUCGUGAUGAAUGACCUUUCGCGUUUAUAUAUAUUAUAGACUAGCUGUGCCCGCGGCUUCGCCCGCGUUGAAAUCAGUGUAUCACAAAGUUUUCCCGGCAAACUU
rnacentral:misc_RNA from 1 species